GAGACAGUCUUGCUCUGUGUCCAAGGCUGGAGUGCAGUGGCACGACCUAGGCUCACUGCAACCUCUGCCUCCCAGGUUCAAGCGAUUCUCCUGCCUCAGCCUCCCAAGUAGCUGGGAUUACCGGCAUGCGCCACCACGCCCGGCUAAUUUUUGUAUUUUUAGUAGAGAUGGGGUUUCACCAUAUUGGUCAGGCUGGUCUCGAUCUCCUGACCUCAAGUGAUCCGCCCGCCUUGGCCUCCCAAGGUCUGGGCUCUUAACCACAGCCUGACCACACCCCAGGCCCGGCUGAUAGCCACUUCAAUGCUCCCACACGCUGAGUACAGUCCAGAUACCCACUCUGCCGGCGGAGUCCCCUCACCUCUUUCCCAGAAGCCACUGGAGUUACACUGGUUGGGAUUUUUGGGCAUUGGUUUGCAAGUCCAUCAGAUGGGGCUAAUGAGCUCACCCUUGCAUGCAGGUCAGAGGACAGCUCACACUGGCCUAGCCCACAAGGGACUCAGGGAAUGAAGGCCACAGUGUGGACCCUCCAACCUGCCCUCAGCUGCCUGAUGGCCUACAGGUGUUUUCUAAUAGGUGACAUGUGUCCAUUAAAAUAAAAUACAACCAACCGCUUACCCCUCCUUGCGCCCAUCUCCUUCCUCUGCCCUACUCUCCUUCACAGAACAUGUCAUCCCCAUGACCUAUCAUGCAUGCAUUGCGUUAGUCAUAUAUUGCUUGACUCCCCAACACCAAGAAGGGAAGGGAUGGUUUAUCUGAUUUAUCACCUUUGUACUCUCAGAGACAAGACAGUACUUGGCACACAGUAGGUGCCCAAUAAAUGUUUGUUGAAUGACUGAAUUAACAAAUGAAUGAUGUGCAUGAAACUCUGCACAGAGUCAUGGAGUGCUUAAAGGCUCCUGGUUACACCUGGCCAUUUCACAGGUGAGGACAUGAGGCCUCAGGAUGGGCUCCCCUGAAGUCCCCAGGCAGGCAGCAGGGGCUCUGAUCUGCUCUGUGCCUCUGCUGGGCUGGACCGAAAUGGGCCUUGAACACAGGUGUGGGCAGCCACCUGGCCAGGCUCCCCAGCUUGAGCCCUGGCGCCCAACAAAGGCAGGUUGCUGCUGGAGGUAGCUGAGCUGGAGGCCAGAGCCCUGGGCUCUGAGCUGUAACCCCUGAACCUGACCUCUUGGGGUCCUUGGGCCAACAGCCCCUGGCUCACUGGGGUCAUCAAGCCUCCCCUAACCAGCCUGAGGGGCACUGUGCCCUGGUAAAUCUCUCAGUGAGAUGGGAACCCAGAGUCACCUACGCCCACAGGGAGAUUCCCCACAGAGGCCUGCUUCACCAUCUAAGCCUCACAACAACCCCGGAAGGGAGGACUUUCGCUAUGGGUUAUAUGGAAACCCAGGCCCAGAGAUGUUGGGACAUCUGUCCCAUGUCACAUGGCUGGGGCACACUGGGGAGCUGGGAUUUGAGACAGAGUGACUGACCCCUCAGGGCACUGAGCAGCCUUCUGUCUGCAGCGUGGGGGCAGGGGUGAAGGUGCCCAUUGCUUCCUUAUCACUGGGCCUCACUUUUUCCAUCUGCCACUGGUUGGGCUCCAGUCCUAAGGAAAGGGCUAUCUGUCUUGCCUGCCCCCAAGAGCCAGGGCUGGGGUGGGGGAGGCUUGGCUGGGAGUGAGAGCUCCCAGGCUGCUCCCUGAGGCUGGGUCGGUAAAAGCUUCCUCUGACCCAUCUGUUGAACUCCCUGAUGACCCCAGUGAGCCAGGGGCUGUUGGCCCAAGGACCCCAAGAGGUCAGGCUCAGGGGUUACAGCUCAGAACCCAGGGAACAUCCCCCAACACGCUCCCAGCCCCAGGGAUCUACAGAUCCUCAAGGUUCCACUCUGGAUCAUUUCAGAAAGAUACUGAACUUGUCAGUGGGUCAAGGGGCUCCUGGGGGGACACAUACUGGGCUACUGCCAGAUGGGAAAUGGCCCCAGCGAGCCUGGGGCAGGGAAGACUUCUGCAAGGCAGUGUCUCCUCAACACAGCCUGGGGAAGCCUUGUGUUCCCUCAGCCAUAAACCUCCAUUUGCUCAAAGUUUAUGCACCAUAGGGUUGAGGGGGGCAGCAGUGUGGGAAGGAAACACACCAAAUAUGCUCCAGGAGCCCUGGGCCACUGUGUGACUUCUGAGGGCCUCUGAGGACUUCUGACUUCUGUGUGACUUCUGAGGGCCUCAGUUUACUCGGCUGUAAACUGGGCAUUGUCAAGAGUCCAUCUUUCUCAGGGUGGUUGUGAGGGCCGUAGGCAGCGACCCAACACUCCCUGCCAUCCAGGUGGGCUGCGGGGCCCUGGUUCUCAACCCUAAUGGGGCCUGGGGCUGGUCUAACGCGCAGGGGAGCUAAAGAACUUCCCCUUGCGGCUGUGGGGAAACACCUGGUGUUCCUGGGCCCAGGGCGAGCCUGUGUGCAUUCCAGGAAACCACACCCAGGGGAGAGGGUGCCAGGCACCCUGGGGCCCCCGCCCACCUGCCCUCCAAAAGGCCCCCAGGCACUGCUGAGGGGGCU
rnacentral:lncRNA from 1 species